rnacentral:rRNA from 1 species
AAUGGGCGCAAGCCUGAUGCAGCCAUGCCGCGUGUGUGAAGAAGGCUUUCGGGUUGUAAAGCACUUUCAGCAAGGAGGAAGGUCUGGUAGUUAAUACCUGCCGGAAUUGACGUUACUUGCAGAAGAAGCACCGGCUAACUCCGUGCCAGCAGCCGCGGUAAUACGGAGGGUGCAAGCGUUAAUCGGAAUUACUGGGCGUAAAGCGCGCGUAGGCGGUUUGGUCAGUUGGAUGUGAAAGCCCCGGGCUCAACCUGGGAACUGCAUUCAAUACUGCCAAGCUAGAGUGUAAGAGGGGAGAGUAGAAUUCCUAGUGUAGCGGUGAAAUGCGUAGAUAUUAGGAGGAAUACCAGUGGCGAAGGCGGCUCUCUGGCUUAACACUGACGCUGAGGUGCGAAAGCGUGGGUAGCGAACAGGAUU